UACAAAAGGGAUAGACUCUGUUCCAGGC
rnacentral:piRNA from 1 species